UGGCUCUCGCAUCGAUGAAGAACGCAGCGAAAUGCGAUAAGUAAUGUGAAUUGCAGAAUUCAGUGAAUCAUCGAAUCUUUGAACGCACCUUGCGCUCCUUGGUAUUCCGAGGAGCAUGCCUGUUUGAGUGUCAUGUUCUCCUCAGCUCUUUUGGAUUUUUAUCUGAAUGCAGCUGGAUUUGGAGGCUGCUGGACUUAAUCGUUCAGCUCCUCUUAAAAGGAUUAGUGUGAAUGUUAUCAAACGUUCUCCGGUGUGAUAAUUAUCUGCGCUGUUGAAUGUUGAUUACUAUAGUUCAUGCUUCUAAUCGUCCACAAGGACAGCAUACUUUACGUUUGACCUCAAAUCAGGUAGGACUACCCGCUGA
rnacentral:misc_RNA from 1 species